rfam:Felis catus isolate Cinnamon breed Abyssinian chromosome A1, whole genome shotgun sequence.
GCCUGGGUGGCUCAGUCGGUUAAGCGUCCGACUUCAGCUCGGGUCACGAUCUCGCGGUCCGUGAGUUCGAGCCCCGCGUCGGGCU